UUCUGAAUCACUUCAGGACAUCCAGAGAGCAGCACAAUUCACUGAGACUUCCAGAAUUGCUUUAGAAAGUGACCAGAAAGGUGUCAGGAACUGUGCCUCAGCACCAAGAAAAGGUGGCUAACAGGAUGGCACACAGACCCGCCCAUGAAAGAGAAAUCCCUCCAGGAGAAAGAUGAACAGGGAAUCAGUCAAACCCUUUCCACGGUUUGUGCUGCAAGGAUGGGUUACCACAGAAAGGCCUCAGUAACAGUCCAUGGGUAAGCAAUUAUUUCUGCUGAAUAAGCUCAUAUUUUUGAGACACUGUUCCCUGGAGAAUGUCACUUAAGCUGAGUAAUCCUCUAGGUAUGAAAUAGAAAUUUUUCAGAAUGUAAAUGUGUCCCAUGAUAGAAGAAAUCUCACAGACCUCACUAGGAGAACUCAGCUUUUGGUCUGUGCCAGAAGAUCUUAUGUCUAACACAAUCCUAUGUCCCUGUGGAGCUGCCCUUGAAGUCCUUGGAGUCCAGCCUAGUUUGUCUAUACCUCUUGGU